CACGAAGUCGUAUGAGCUAACCUAUUUGCACUUAUAUGUGGCAUAAUAUUUAUUCAACAUAGGUUAGGGGUGAAAGGCUUUUCAAAGACGAUGAUAUCUUGAAGUAAGUGAAAAAAAUUGAGUUUCAAGGUGAUUACAAAGUUAUAAGAUUUUGUAAUAGAUUCAAUGACUUUUGAUACUGGAUGUCGGUAUAAAAACCAACAUAACGCGAGACUAUUAUAAAUGAGUGAGGCUUAUUUUAUUAACUUACGGUAGUAAAACUCUAUUAUAAUCAUCAUGUUAGUAUUAGUAUCUUUUAGGUGUUAGUAGUGAACUCGGCAAUAAAGCUUUCAACUGUUUAUCAAAAACAUAGCCACAUGUUUCAUAUGUGGUGUCUUCUGCUCAAUGAUAAUUGAAUAGCCGCAGUACCCUGACUGUGCAAAGGUAGCGUAAUCAUUUGUCUUUUAAUUGGAGUCGUGUAUGAACGAAUGCAUGGGGGCUUACUUUACCAUUAAUAUAACUUGAAAUUACUUAAGAGGUGAAAAAACCUCUAUCAAAAAAAUAGACGAGAAGACCCUUGAAAUUUGUAAAAAUGUUUUGUUGGGGCAACAUAGUAAGAAAACCUACUAAAUGGACAUGAAAUGUGUUUGUUUGAUUAAAUUACUCUAGGGAUAACAGCAUAAUUCUUAAAGAGCUUGUGACCUCGAUGUUGGAUUAGGGAACUACAACCUAAAA
rnacentral:rRNA from 1 species